AGCCCAAAUCUCUCUCACCUCACGCACCCCAUUCUUCUCCGAUCCCAAGUUCCCAACCUCGCGCUAGGGUUAGCGCCGGCGCCAGCCCCAGCCCGCCCCUUGGCUCCUCCGCCGCCGCUCGCCUUCCUCAGCAGCACCUGGUCGCCGUGCUUGCCUCCUCCCGCCGCUGGUCCGCCUCCGCCGUCUCGACCCCUCCCAGCAGCCAACACCACGCUAGCGCGCCACCGUCCACCCUCGAUGUGAUCGACGCCGACGAGGUUCCGUCAUCGACAUAUAUCUCGACAAGGUACUAGGUACGAGAUCGGCCCAUCGUGAUCUUUGCAUUUCUCCUCGGAUGCUGAGACAAGCAGCUUCGCCGCCGACAUCUAGGUGAGAGGAACGUUCCCAUCAGGCCAAACAGCGAGAGGAACAAUUCCAUCAGGCUGAAUGUCAAGUAGCGCCAUGCCUGACGCAUACGGCAUCAUGCCUUGCCGAGUGGUACUGUCGAUUCAACUCGGAUGCAGCAGUACACACGUACUCUCCUCUUUCUGAUCAGGUACGCAAGCACUCAGAUCCCUGCUCACUGAUGGCAUCAGUGGCUGCUUCAAUCAAUGAUAUGAAGGACCUUAGAUGAUCACAUCAUAUGCAUGUAUUAGUAAUUUGUAUACGGGACUUGGUCAUCUGGUGAUUGAUUCUACGAACUCCAUAUGCUUCUGUGUAAUCGGUAAUUUAUUUUCUGUGUAAUCAUGCCGCUGAUAAUUUAUUUUACAUAGAUUUAAGUCCAAAGUAGGAAACAAUGCUAUGAUUAUUAAUAUUUAACAUAAAGGAAGGUUUGAUGUUGCCGACUCCACGCGACAUGACGCUCCGGCGCUGGGGCCGCCCAAUGAACGCCACUGUUGUACGACAAAAUCCCAACGCCCCUCGAUCAUUCGUGGCAUGUAGACAUUGCCGGUUUGCGAUUAGAUAUGACCGCAGCACCUGGAGAACACUCGUUUGUGACUGGACACGACUGCCACACCUGGACGAUGAUGUUGCCUCACGCCUGAGCAGCUUGACUAAACAAACAAAUCAGGGAGCACUGAGGCCAACCAUUUGGUCCUUCAGGAAUGCGGUGAAGGCAGGUGCUCUAAUAAGGUCAAAGGUAUAUGAUGGAUUGCCCAGUUGAACAUUCCAAAAAAAUAAUCUUGCAGCUAAGUAUUCUUGGCGUAGUUUAUUCCCAGUUUUUCAUUCAAGGAUCAAUCUCAUUUGUUUCUUUUAACAUAUAAACUAAAAUGCUACAAAAUUGCCCCAUUGUUAAAUUUUCGGACAUGUUUUCUUUCUUCGUAACAUAUUCAAUGUCUAAUCAGAAGGUACACAUGAAUGCAUUCUUUGUCUUUUCACUCUGAGGGCCUCCUCGCAUUUUUUUAGCAACACGCACACUCAUUUUAAGUGCCAAGGUUUAACUGAAUUGCCUUGUGAUCCGGUUUCUCGACCGGCCAUUCAUGAUUCAUAGGAAUGAACAUUUACGCCGUAGUGAAGUACAUACAUUGUACUUGACACAGCUGAUCUUGUGGUACUAAACUUUUAUGCCUAGUAAGUAUACACCAAGGUCCCCGCAAGGGCACGAGUAGCAUUGAAGUUUUGAUCCACCACUUCCGUUGAGCAAUCCUGGUGUGUUAAGAACAAUGAUAUAACUUUGUCUUUGAUGAUUUAUUGCGAUGCUUUCCUUUGUCGCGGAAUUACCAAAAACACGAAAGGGAGGAGUCAAAGCUUGUGAAGAAAUGUAGCACUUCCAAGUUAUUGGCCGAUGAUGAUGAUAAGAUUGACAACCACACGACGAGCUUGCCGAGUGCAUCCUCUAAGGGUACGAAGCAUUUUCGGAGGAAGACUGAAGACCAAGAGGAUGGGAAUGAUGAUGGAAACAAUAGCAAAUAUUUACGAGAGGAGUCCGAAGGAGAACACAAUAAAUGGAUAAUGAAGGCGGUGUGGACACUCUUGAUGCAUGCCAUUCUUUCUUGGAUCUGGUCUUUUUUAUACAUAAAAACACAUAGGUAUGGAAUAGUUAAUUAAAAUGUACAACAUCGCCUUGUCGAAAAAACAAGUUUUGAUGCGUCUUGUUUAGGUCAACAUCGAGUGUAUUUUUGUUAAUUUAGAUAUUGUUGCUUGGAUUGGGGAGAUGGACAGGCGAAGAUACUGAGUGUAGGAAGAAGACUGGUGUAAUGAAAAGUUGACAAUGCAUCUGAUAUGCAUGAGGAUAUAAUCAAUGUUAAACCACUAGAAUUAGGCCUACUCGUUGCAAC